CCUGAAUGGCAGUGGCUUGAUCUCCUGCGUAUUGGGCGUGUAGCCGAGCUGCAGUGGCCUGGAACUGUUUAACCUGCAAGAACAGAGAUAUGGAUUUAACAUUGAGAUUUUCCUAAUUUUAGCCAAUUGCUGGUUGUUUGCUGUACCUGUUUUCCCAAGGAGCUGAUGUCCCUCUCAAAUGCAGCAUGCAUACGAUGGAAGGACUCCGCUUUGCUAAAAUCCUCACCCAGAUCAUCAGGAAGCUCAUUCUUCUUUUCCAGGAUGUGAAGUGCCAGCUCCUUUCCAUCAUAAAAGUACCUAGAGAAGUUCACGAGUAUUAGUACAGGUCAUAGGAGGCCGUGAGGAGCUGGGCGCGGGUGUCGACAAGCUCCAGAAGAUCUGCCCAGCUCUCAUUUAUCCCAUCUUUCCAUUCCGCCAUGGUUGCG